rnacentral:rRNA from 1 species
UGGGGAAUAUUGGACAAUGGGCGCAAGCCUGAUCCAGCCAUGCCGCGUGAGUGAUGAAGGCCUUAGGGUUGUAAAGCUCUUUCGCUGGGGAAGAUAAUGACGGUACCCAGAGAAGAAGCCCCGGCUAACUUCGUGCCAGCAGCCGCGGUAAUACGAAGGGGGCUAGCGUUGUUCGGAAUUACUGGGCGUAAAGCGCACGUAGGCGGACUUGUCAGUCAGAGGUGAAAUCCCGAAGCUUAACUUCGGAACUGCCUUUGAUACUGCAAGUCUUGAGGAUGAGAGAGGUAAGUGGAACUGCGAGUGUAGAGGUGAAAUUCGUAGAUAUUCGCAAGAACACCAGUGGCGAAGGCGGCUUACUGGCUCAUUUCUGACGCUGAGGUGCGAAAGCGUGGGGAGCAAACAG